rnacentral:rRNA from 1 species
GUGGGGAAUAUUGGACAAUGGGCGAAAGCCUGAUCCAGCAAUGCCGCGUGAGUGAUGAAGGCCUUAGGGUUGUAAAGCUCUUUUACCAGGGAUGAUAAUGACAGUACCUGGAGAAUAAGCUCCGGCUAACUCCGUGCCAGCAGCCGCGGUAAUACGGAGGGAGCUAGCGUUGUUCGGAAUUACUGGGCGUAAAGCGCGCGUAGGCGGUUUAUCAAGUCAGGGGUGAAAUCCCGGGGCUCAACCCCGGAACUGCCCUUGAAACUGGUUCGCUAGAAGCCUGGAGAGGCGAGUGGAAUUCCGAGUGUAGAGGUGAAAUUCGUAGAUAUUCGGAAGAACACCAGUGGCGAAGGCGACUCGCUGGACAGGUAUUGACGCUGAGGUGCGAAAGCGUGGGGAGCAAACAGGAUUAGAAACCCUUGUAGUCC